GACGAACGCUGGCGGCGUGCUUAACACAUGCAAGUCGAACGGAAAGGCCCCCUUGUGGGGUACUCGAGUGGCGAACGGGUGAGUAACACGUGAGUAACCUACCCUUGACUUUGGGAUAACUUCAGGAAACUGGGGCUAAUACCGGAUAGGAGCUCCUGCUGCAUGGUGGGGGUUGGAAAGUUUCGGCGGUUGGGGAUGGACUCGCGGCUUAUCAGCUUGUUGGUGGGGUAGUGGCUCACCAAGGCUUUGACAGGUAGCCGGCCUGAGAGGGUGACCGGCCACAUUGGGACUGAGAUACGGCCCAGACUCCUACGGGAGGCAGCAGUGGGGAAUAUUGCACAAUGGGCGGAAGCCUGAUGCAGCAACGCCGCGUGCGGGAUGACGGCCUUCGGGUUGUAAACCGCUUUCGCCUGUGACGAAGCGUGAGUGACGGUAAUGGGUAAAGAAGCACCGGCUAACUACGUG
rnacentral:rRNA from 1 species